CUUAUUAAGUAAGUAUCACAUCAGAUAAGUAAUAAGUAGAGACAGAAUACUAAAUAUAUGUAAAAUUUUCCCACUUUAUUGAAGUAUAAUUGACAAAUAAGAUUAUAAGAUUUUUUUUUAAUAUUAGGGAGUUUUUGUUGUGGCUCAAUGGUAAUGAACCUGACUAGUAUCCAUGAGGAAAGCAGGUUCAAUCCCUGGCCUUGCUCAGUGGGUUAAGGAUCCAGCGUCAGCCAUGAGCUGUGGUGAAGGUUGCAGAUGAGGCUUGGAUCCCACAUUGCUGUGGCUGUGGUGUAGGCUGGCAGCUGCAGCUCUGAUUCGACCCCUAGCCUGGGAGCUUCCAUAUGCUACAGGUGGGCCCUAAAAAGCAAAAAAAAGAAAAAAAAAAGAAAAAAAGAAAUCAGCUGUUCCUGUCACCAUUGGAAUUAACACUUACUAUAACAGAUGAAUUCUGGAAUAUAAGUGGUUUUACCCAUUUACAUAAAGUCUAGUUGGCAGGUUGAGGAGGGUGGGCAGAGUAGGAAGACAGAAAAGGUCUUUGCUCCACUCAGGAAGCCAGGGUCCUCUAUCGGCCUCCCGGAGUCCCUAGAAAGACUCCCUGGACUUUGCCUACAUGAGGAAAAGGACAGAGAAUGAAGGGAGUUUUCACAGCCUAGACCUGGAAGUUGGCUUCAUCCCAUCCAGCCACAUCCCAUUAACCAGAACUCAGCCACAUAGCCAAACUGACUACAAGAACCCUAAGAAAUGCAGCCUAAUUGUGUUUAGGAAGAGCAGAGAAUCGCUUCACGUGAGAGCCAUCUGGGUCACAGGGAGUGACUUUGCCCAGGCCGACCCAGCAGAUAACUGUGAGAGCUGGAACUUUAAAGCACAUCAUCUGGCUUCAGGUCCAGAGCUCUUCCCUCUACAAUUGCCCAAGGUCCAACAUGAAAACAGCAACCAGGCAUGCUGGCAUGAUUUGGAAUUCUAGGAUCUUUUCUCUUGCCCUUUCUGGCUGGCCAAAUAUGUUGAUGAAUGAUAAAUGGCCAGGUUCUCUCCAUCACUAUGCUGUGUCUCAUUACAGGUGCUCUGAUAGCUAACACAUUCACAAAACUAGAAACCCAACCUCUCUCUUUGAUGGCUGAGGUCGCCGAGAAUGGUCUUACUCUGUGACUGUUUCAUGUCUCCCCUGGGUGACAGAUAGAACUGACUAUUCAUUUCCCUUAGACAAGAACAAUUUAGAGGAACAACUAAUUGCACAGGGAGGGUUUAUGUGUGUGGGGAUUUACGGUAUGAGGUCACAUGGCUUCAUCAUUUUUCUGCACACUGAAAUUGAAGAUAAUUGGGCUAUUUUUCAAAGCCAGUGGAGUGUGGCCUUACUGAGAGGCACUGCCACAUUUAGAUCCCUCUUUACUUGCUCUGGGUCCUCUUUAGGUUCUUUCUUCACCUUUUAGAUAAUGUCAGUCUCUUUGCCUUCUUUAAGGUGAAUUUACAGUGAUCCUCAGUGUAAACCCAAAGCAUCAAUAUGGUUCAAAGUCCAAGCUAGAGAGUGCCAAGGCCCCAUCAGAGUGCACCUGGCCCACUGGUGUCAUGCUUGUCCUCACUCAAUAGGACCAAACAUGCAAGGCCUGACUGAGAUACACAGCCAUUUCUUUCCAGACACAAAGCCUCCAAUUCAAGGAAUUUUCCCCCGAGUUGGUUGUUGUGCCAGUUGAUAAGCUGUAGACUUUCUUUAAAGCCUGGAAACUGAAAACCACCAUCUGGUAGGAUAUGUUUGGGUUUCUUCCUAAUCUAAAAACUUGCCAGGGAGAGAGUAGAUAUCAGUGCAGGGUAUACAUGCUCUGGAGGCAGACAAAACUCAUUUUAAAUAGUGGUUUUACCUCAUAAUCACUGUAAAGCAGAGGUUGGUACAUGUCAACCUAUGAACCAAAUCCAUAUCAUCAUCUUCUUUUGAAAAUAAAGUUGUAUUGGAACAUGGCCACACCCAUUUGUUUACACACCAUCUAUGGCUCCUUGCACACAAAUAAUGGCAGUCUUGGGUUGGACAUACAUGGCCUGCAAAACCACAAAUGGUUAUCACUUGUUCUCUUGCAAAAAAAUAUUAUGGAUCUCGGUUUCUCCAUCUGCUAAGUACAGGUAAUUCUGUCUAACACAAAACUGGUGAGAACUAAAUAAAACAGUGUGUAAAAAGCACCUAGGCCAAUUCCAAACACAAAGUAGAUCCUUAUUAAGUAGGAGGAUUUCUCCAGUGAUUCUGUACUGGGUACAUUUGGGUGGCUGAGUGCAGAGGCUUGGAGACACACAGAGUCAAUGUGACAUAUACACAAGUAACACUCUUCAAGGAACACUGCCACCCCUCUCCUCCACCUUGGCCCACAUGCCGCUCCAGGACUAAAAGAACAAAGGAAACAAAACAUAAGCACUUUCUAAUAUCAGCUGUGCUCUUGCAGAAGGCAGAGAGAUCAAGAAGUGGGCCUUCCAUCAUCUUACUAUCACUGUCACUAGGCAAAUCACGCCAUUCUGAUGUUCUUUUACUUUAUAUACCUAAGAAAGAAGCAAAUAGUCAUUUUGCAUUAAAACUUCCCCCAAACAACCCAUCUUACUCUGAAAUUUAUUGUAUGCAUCCUUACUUUCACAAAGAAUGAAGUAUAUCUCAUAAUUCUGAAGAAGGUUUAGUAUUCUUAGUGUUCUAAGACCCAUUUAUUAGUAGUUAAUGCAUUGGCCUCUAGAUUAGGCCAUAUAUUAUAAAUCUCAUCCUCUCAAUAACUUUUCAAGACAUAUAUUUUCCUUCUAAGUUUACUGUGAAGAAACUGAGAGAUUAAAUAACCUUCCAAGUUUGUGCAACCAGUAGCAAGCAUAGUUACAAUUCAAAGCCACUCUGACUCUCUUCUGAGUCUGCCUAAUCUUCAACAAAGUUGGCAAUGUCAGGAACUGCAUAAGGACAAGGAAUGGAUUUUAACUGAACCAAAACAAUAUAUAUGGUCAGAAAGGCUGGACAGCUGGCAAGAGGACAGAAGAAACAAUUUCUACAAAUAUAUUCUGAGCAACAAGCAUUAGUGUAUUUUAAAUUCUUUCUAGAGGAACUUUCUAUCUCUUACACAUUUCAAAGAACAGCAUGGAGAAAAAGUUUUGGAUCAGAAGCAAUAAGUUCUGGGCUCUAGUCUUGAAUGAAUCAUUUGCCUUCUCUCAACUGUUCUAUUUAUAAAUGGGAACAGCAAAUUGUCUUUCAGGUCACUCUGAGUGUUUACGAUACUUUCCAGGGAGCAAGUUUCAGUCACUGGGAACUGAUGCCCAAAUCGGAAGUAUCCUGCCAUAAGCCUGUCUCAGAGCCCAGCCACUGGGAACCACACACACACACACACACACACACACACUGAACACAUACAAUGAACACAGAGUUUCUUUCCAUAGAGCUUGAUUUAAAAUACAUAAAAAUUAAGUUAGAUUAAAAAAAUAAACUCUAUAAAAGCGCAACUCUGGGUAGACAAAGUAGAUAGAAACAAACAAACCCUUGCAUAAGGUUUCUGACACUGAUUAGGAAUAAAAUAUACAUGAAAAGACAGCCAAAAAAAGAAAGCAUACUAACGGAUAUGCUUUUUUUGAUUAAGCAAAGACAAGCUUAAUCAAAAUAUGUGCUUUUGUAUAUAUAUACACACACAGAAACAUGUUACAC
rnacentral:lncRNA from 1 species